rnacentral:rRNA from 1 species
GCUUGACUGUAGCUUGUAAUUGAAUUCGGGCUUUUUUGCGCAGACUAGGUGGGAGGCGAUGAUGAUUUCUUCCGGGAAAAUUUUAGCCAUCCGUGAGAGACCACUCUGAGAAAGCUAGAAUCCUAAUGAUGAUCCUUGAAUCAGGACAUUUGACAGUUGCAGGUGGGCAGUUUUACUGGGGCGGUAGCCUCCUAAAAAGUAACGGAGGGGUGCAAAGGUUCCCUCAGCUGGACGGAAAUCAGCUAAGAGUGUAAAGGCAAAGGGAGCUUGACUGCAAGACUAACAAGUCGAGCAG